rnacentral:lncRNA from 1 species
CAGAACUUGGCUUGUCACCAUCACUGUUUUCUCUCAAACAGUGUUUCAAAAGCAUUCUGACAGUAAACCCAUUUGGUGAUUGUUCUGAGCACAGGAAGAAUUCUUGCCAGACUUCUGAUAUACAGAUAAACUGCUGUAUGACUUACUGGAUGGACAGUGGACUGAGAAUCAAGAGGUAUGUGUUCUGCUCUUUGCUGCUGACUCCUGGGACACUCUGUAUCUUCAUAUCCCCAUAAGGCUGGUGCCCCCCCCCCAACCUCCAGGAUCAGCUGGUAGCAGGUCCAGAGAUUAAUUUGGCUAAGGAGGUGUUCCUCUGUGAGAGCCAACACAAGAUGUGCUUCUCUGAAGUGGACAGCAUGCAGAAGAGCUGGCACUGUACAUCCCAUGACAGCAGCAACCUCUGUAGGCAGUUGUGUUCCCCAGAACCUUUGGCUCUUCAUCCAGCUGCCUGUUGAAGUCAUCUGCAUGCAAGUUACGUUUCCUUAUCCUGUUGGGCCACAUUCAGCAAUGACUUCACCUGGAAGUAAGGAGUUAGAACAGUAAGAUUCCCAAAAGAAGCCUUCUCUGUUGUAAUGGUCGCUGGAAGCCCUGAGGUGAUCAUUU